UACUCCUACGGGAGGCAGCAGUAGGGAAUAUUGCGCAAUGGGGGACAGCCUGACGCAGCAACGCCGCGUGAGUGAUGAAGGCCUUCGGGUCUGUAAAGCUCUGUUCUUAGGGAACGAUGGUUAGGGAGCUAAUACCUCCUUAUUUGAUGGUACCUAAUGAGAAAGGACCGGCUAACUUCGUGCCAGCAGCCGCGGUAAUAC
rnacentral:rRNA from 1 species